rnacentral:rRNA from 1 species
AUUGAACGCUGGCGGCAGGCCUAACACAUGCAAGUCGAGCGGUUGAAGGGAGCUUUCUUCUGGAUUCAGCGGCGGACGGGCGAGUAAUUCAUGGGAAUCUGCCUGGCAGUUGGGUGGAGGGUCCGGAAUGGGGCCCAAUUACCGUAUCCGCCCAGAGGGUGAAAGGGGGGGAUCUUGGGACCUCCGGCCAUUAGCUGAGCCUAGGUCGGAUUAGCUAGUUGGUGGGGUAAAGGCCUACCAGGGCGACGAUCCGUAACUGGUCUGAGAGGAUGAGCGGUCACACUGGAACUGAGACACGGUCCAGACUCCUACGGGAGGCAGCAGUGGGGAAUAUUGGACAAUGGGCGAAAGCCUGAUCCAGCCAUGCCGCGUGUGUGAAGAAGGUCUUCGGAUUGUAAAGCACUUUAGUUUGGAAGGAAGGGCAGUAAGUUAAUACCCUGCUGUUUUGACGUUACCAACAGAAUAAGCACCGGCUAACUUCGUG